AUAUUCUUUAACAAUAAUGGUUUACUAUUCUCAGGAAUUAGUCAUUCAAAAGACGGUGAGGAAAAGAAUGGUCGACAAACCUUGUGUGGUGCCUUAACAGUCCAUCAGACUAAGGGAUAGAUAAAGGUAGAUCUUGAUUACACUGCCUGGUUUUGUGGUUUGCACGAGACGGUUGACACAAUGAUCUGAAGUUCAAACUGCCAUUUUCUACUGUCCGCUGCAAGAUCUUGGCUGGAAUGUAAAAGGAAUGUCCAAAAUAUUUAAAUGACAAACAGGAUGGGAACUGAUAAUGAGGAAUAUGCUGAAACAGACAUCUGGCAUAUUCCUAUAAUCAGUAUCAUGGCCUUUGUAUACAACAAAAUUGAUUGGAACUCCUAGACUAGAAAUAUAAUUCAAGAUUUAAAUAAGGCACUGGUCAUAGUUUUAGAAAGUGUGGCUAGCAUUCUGAAGGAAGACAGAGAGAUGGAAAGACAUCAAAGAAUGGGCAGGUCUGCCAAGAAAUGGUUUAUCCAGGGCUAAGUACAGAGAGGAAUAUAGAAGGGCUGUUGACAGAUCUUGUGUGGUGCCCCCAUGGUUCAACAGACUAAUUG